ACAGCUGAAAUGUUACUCUGUGCUUUAUUUUCCAGGGAACCAGAGACCACCCGGAUGACGACACUAUGCAUCAUGAUGGAGGCAGACAUGACAGCGCGGCGAACUAUGAAAACAUCGGAGGAGCAUCGAGUCUCCGCUGCUGUUAAACAUUUCUUCACAGCAUUACUGUACAUGAGUAAAAUAAAUCUGAAUGAAGUGAAGGUUUUACAUCAGGUCUUGUAUUAAUGUAAUGAUGUGGAGAAAUGUGUUGAGUCACAGCCAGCUAUACAAGUCUUGAUUUUAUAUAGUUUAAGAAGCUUUAUGUACAAUUAGAGCAUUUAGUCUUUCCCGGCAAAACUUUUUUUGCUUUAUGCAGUCAGUGAACACAACCUCUAAAAACUGUCCUUGGAUCCCAUGCACUUCACAGAUUUUUCUAGAUUGCCUAACAUGACCUUAAUGUUAUCACUCUUGAGCUCAUCAGCUUUGAUACUUAAAGAAGUUUUGAAACUGUUACCUAAUGUUUAUAAAGUCAGUUGUAUCAUAUCAUCAUAUCUGAUAACGUGAUGUGCUGAAAAAAGUGUUUAAUGCUCACUUAUAUAUGUGUUAUAACAUGUCAUGCCUGUUUCAAUCAAAGGUGGGAAAUGUUAUCAUGGAUCCAACAUUUUAUACAACUCUUGUUCAGUUUCUUCUCUCACAUGAAUAAAUCCAAAUUUUGGUAGAUUUUUUAGUUGUUUUUUUUAAUAGUCUAUUUAAGAUUCAGACAGAUUAACUGAAAUUGACUGUAUGAACAUGACUCUAAUCAGUGCUACAGAAGCAAACAAUGGCCAUAAUGAUAAAUAUGUUGUAAGAAAAUUCACAUUUAGUACAGAAAUUUGUAACCUGAAUGUUUACCACUGAAAUUUAAGCAUGAUUUAAAGCUCUAUAUUUUUUAUAUGAAGUGGACGGAGAUAACUUUUCAACUCUCCCCCCUCUCAGUGUUGCCCUCUGGUGUUACUGUUUGGCGCCCAUGUUGCAAAGUUGGGUGAAGUUACUUUUAAAGGUAACUCAUUAUGUUAGAGUACUGGCAAACCUUUUGCGCCUCAUUUUGCACGUGGGCUGUAUUGUCCAGACAAUGUGUAGCCAGCUGUACAUGUACCUUAAAUGUACUGACUCUACCGUCAUGUCGUAGCCUUUCUUUACGGCACCACAAUCGAAAAACUCCAAACUCAACAGCCUGAUAAUAGGAGUGACAGACCCAUAUAACAUUUACAGCACUUAACUUUGUUAACAAUCUGACAGCCACAUGAAUGGGUGCAUGCAGUAUUGGGCACAGCUGUUUCUAUGAAAACUAUACAACACAGGUUCUUAUGGCCCAAGUACAUGAUGUUUUAACAUGCAACCAAUGAAACCCGUAAGCUAUGAGUGCACAAAUACCAUAAAAGUGAAUGAGCUUCACAUUCCUACACACAAACUAUAUCAUUUAAUUUAGGCUUUUCAUACACACAGACUCACCCAGCAUACUAAUGUUUGUACUAAUGUACAACUAAUGUUUCAAUGAAAUCUCAUAACUUGAUCAGUGGUUUAUUUUGCUCAGGUGUCAUGGAGCAGGUUGUCUGCAGGUCCUUUAAAUUUUAGAUAAUUUUAUUUAAAUAGUUUUUGAUUUGAAGUUGUGAUGACUUAAUUGCCACAUACAUUUUCUAUCAUUUCAUUUAUUCAUCAUUUAACUUCUUUUUGUUGUUACAUAUUACACAGCAUUAAACCUGCUGAAACUAAUUCUUAAAAAGAAUCGAAGUGACACCGUCUCCAUGACAACUGAGCAAACUCCAUCCACUGAUAAAGGUCAUAAGAUUAAGUGGGGUGCUCUGACUAAAGCGAGACGACCUUGAGUAAAACUUCUAUUUCCAAGGCCAAAAAUGAUGUUGGUUCGUCCAGUGAUAGAAUAAUUACAUUAAUUAUUUAGUUGUAUGUUGUAUGUAUUGUCUUUUACUCUUGAUAGUAUGACUUUCUGCUAGUUUUGUACACUUGUAACCAACUCAGCAUCCUCCACCCUACACUCCCUCACACAUAUGGGAUGCUUGAAAGUGAAAUAACAUGAAAACAGUACAGCGAUAUUAAAGUAAAUACGUAAGAAGAAAUGUUGAUUACAUGGGAGAAAAAACUCCCGGUUUCCUGUAAUGGUUGUAUAACAGAGUAGAAAUAUUGUUUUUUUUUUCUCGAAUUUCCUAUAAACAUAUAACUUCUCUCCUGUUUUAAUGACUUCCAAUCCAGUGAGGAAAUAAAGAUAUCGCAGGAUAAUCUUUCCAAGUCCUACAAUUUUGAAAAGCAGUAAAAAUAAUAUUUUUUUUUACUGUUUUUGACACAUGAAGAUUUUUGCCUGAAAUUCUUUUAGUUUUUUCACGUUUACACGGAUGGCAAAAAAAAAAAAAAAUUAAGGGAGAAUUUUUUUUUUUUUCACCAGAUUGCAAGUCAUAAACACAGGAGACGAAAUAUUUAAGACUAGAAUAACUUGCGUCUUGUGUCUAACUCGGGUCUUCCAUAGGUUGUUGUAAGUUCUGAAGAAGAUUUUUGUUUUCCUACCCAUCUACCCAUCCAUCCUUGCCCCCAGUGAUGGGGGUAAGACGUUAUAAAAAAAAGGCAAGACAGUAUGACUUUACUUACAGCAGUAACAGAGUAAUAUAACACGUAACUAAUAAGAUUUCAUUACGUCAAAUAACCCUUGUCGCCUGUGAUUGAUGAUGUCAUACACCACAUCAAAAUACCAAUUUUCUUUAGAAGUUGCAUGUGAGGCCUUAUUUCCACAUGGCUCUGUGUACGUACACGAGUCAACCACAAGUCCAUUAAUUCUCACAGGAACCUCUGUGAUGUACGAUGUGAUUGUUAAAUACAUUGAAACAAUUCAGUAGAUGUUGGGCAGACCCUGAGCGCUUUGUGCCACAGGAAGUUAGCAUGAAAACAAAUUAGCCAACUGAUUGUAGAACAUAGCACAGCUCUAUUUAUGCAUUUCUGCUACAGGGACAAGUACAACAAACCCAACUCAGAUCAGAGAGGUGCUGCAGUGCUCCGGCUCUCCUGCGUAUCACUUGUAGAAACAAAUUUCUGAUCUGAGAGAACACAGGUGUACUCGAUGAAAUUAAAUCCUCAGGUAAAAUGAACUGCGUCAGGUAAUGUAUCAGGUAAGAUCAACUAUGUGGUAAAUAGUCUGAAACUCGUCGUUUAACCACAGCUUCGUCCUCUGCUGCUGUAUUUUUGCAAAAUCAAACCACUUCAUUGGAUGAGCCUUGUAACAUCACAAUGACUUCCUCAGAAGGAACUGAUGGCUGUAAGUUCUUAAGAAGAUUGCAUAUAAAAUGACACAACACUGCAUUUGGCAACAGAACAUCGUUCUACCCGUCCAGUCAUUGUCAGAAGUGUUCAUGGUAAAAAUUACCAGCUCUUGGAGCUCUUUUAGCAUCUGGUGCACCACAUGUACAAACUCUGUGUCCUCACCGCAGCAGCCUGGAUUCAAUUCCAACCUGUGGCCCUUUGCUGUAUGUCAUCCACUCUCUCUCCCCGCUACCUAAUGCUCUCCGGUCAUAAACAAUGUACUGCUUCUGUCACUCCGCUGAAGAAUUCAGAGCUGAUUUGAAGAUUUCCUGCUUGUUGUUGAAGCUGCAGCAGCUUGAGCUCAGUUUCAUCUCUCUGUGUGCAGAAGAACUCAUUUGAACUCUCUUUCAUUUAGCAUUGUUGUUCAUAUAUUAGUGUGGGUGUUUGAAUGUCUUUUCAGCCUCAGUGGAGUCAGUAACAGUCUUCUCUUUAUUAUAUCUGUUAAUGGUAUCAUCUGCAAAUAAAGACAUCUUCACCACUUCACUCUACUCUGUGUUCUGUGACUCCUUCAUGUACUAACAGUGUCAUGAUGUAAAGUGAAUAUUCUCUACUAUGAAUGUCUUGACUCUACUAGUAGUAAACCUUCCCUCUGGUGGCUUGAACAGCUCUGUUCUCUCUGGACACUAAAAUAUGUCUUAAUACAGAAGGAAAUGCAGCCAAAGUGAGCUGAGAGUGUACAGAAAUCUAAUAACUACUUUACUACUUUAGAAGGUUUGGAUCCACAUGACCACCUACUCUGACCUAAAAUGAUGUCAAUACAUUUCACACAUCUUAAAUGUCCAACUAGUCGUGUCUGCAGUGAGCAUACAGCAUGAACAACCUCCAGACCACAGGUGAAGUGUUGGAACUGUCCAGUUGAGCAGCACAUAUCAUGGAGGCUUGAUGCUCCACGUUGUGACAGUUUUACAUUUACAUUUUGGGCAUAUAGCAGACGCUUUUGUCCAAAGCAACUUACAAUAAGUACAUGUGUCACAAGAAAGAACCCACAACAUAUCAUCAUUGAUAAUCAUAGUCAUACUAUGCAGGGUCGAUGUGAAGUCUGAACCAUUGAGUCUUAAUAUUUUGCGGAAGAUGGCUUGUGACUCUGCU
rnacentral:lncRNA from 1 species